GACGAACGCUGGCGGCGUGCUUAACACAUGCAAGUCGAACGGGAAUGCCCUGCUUUUGUGGGGUGCUCGAGUGGCGAACGGGUGUGUAACACGUGUGUAACCUGCCCUUGACUUUGGGAUAACUUCAGGAAACUGGUGCUAAUACCGGAUAGGCGCUCCUGCUGCAUGGUGGGUGUUCGAAAGUUUCUGCGGUUGGGGAUGGCCUCGCGGCUAUUCAGAUUGUGGGUGGGUUAGUGGCUUACCAAGGCUUUGACGGGAAGCGGGCCUGAGAGGGUGACCGGGCACAUGAGGACUGAGAUACGGGCCAGACUCCUACGGGAGGCAGCAGUGGGGAAUAUUGCACAAUGGGCGGAAGCCUGAUGCAGCAACGCCGCGUGCGGGAUGACGGCCUUCGUGUUGUAGACCGCUUUCGCCUGUGACGAAGCGUGAGUGACGGUAAUGGGUAAAGAAGCACCGGCUAACUACGUG
rnacentral:rRNA from 1 species